UGAGAGGGCGACCGGCCACAUUGGGACUGAGACACGGCCCAGACUCUUACGGGAGGCAGCAGUGGGGAAUAUUGCACAAUGGGGGAAACCCUGAUGCAGCGACGCCGCGUGAGCGAUGAAGUUUUCGGUUAGUAAACUUCUCAGCAGGGAAGAUAAUGACGUACCUGACUAAGAAGCUCCGGCUAAAUACGUGCCAGCAGCCGCGG
rnacentral:rRNA from 1 species